UCCCGAGCGUUNUCCGGAUUUAUUGGGCGUAAAGCGAGCGCAGGCGGUUAGAUAANUCUGAAGUUAAAGGCAGUGGCUCAACCNCUGUAGGCUUUGGAAACUGUUUAACUUGAGUGCAGAAGGGGAGAGUGGAAUUCCAUGUGUAGCGGUGAAAUGCGUAGAUAUAUGGAGGAACACCGGUGGCGAAAGCGGCUCUCUGGUCUGUAACUGACGCUGAGGCUCGAAAGCGUGGGGAGCGAACAGGAUUAGAUACCCUGGUAGUNCACGCCGUAAACGAUGAGUGCUAGGUGUUAGGUCCUUUCCGGGACUUAGUGCCGCAGCUAACGCAUUAAGCACUCCGCCUGGGGAGUACGACCGCAAGGUUGAAACUCAAAGGAAUUGACGGGGGCCCGCACAAGCGGUGGAGCAUGUGGUUUAAUUCGAAGCAACGCGAAGAACCUUACCAGGUCUUGACAUCCUGAUGCCCGCUCUAGAGAUAGAGCUUUACUUCGGUACAUCGGUGACAGGUGGUGCAUGGUUGUCGUCAGCUCGUGUCGUGAGAUGUUGGGUUAAGUCCCGCAACGAGCGCAACCCUUAUUGUUAGUUGCCAUCAUUCAGUUGGGCACUCUAGCGAGACUGCCGGUAAUAAACCGGAGGAAGGUGGGGAUGACGUCAAAUCAUCAUGCCCCUUAUGACCUGGGCUACACACGUGCUACAAUGGCUGGUACAACGAGUCGCAAGCCGGUGACGGCAAGCUAAUCUCUGAAAGCCAGUCUCAGUUCGGAUUGUAGGCUGCAACUCGCCUACAUGAAGUCGGAAUCGCUAGUAAUCGCGGAUCAGCACGCCGCGGUGAAUACGUUCCCGGGCCUUGUACACACCGCCCGUCACACCACGAGAGUUUGUAACACCCGAAGUCGGUGAGGUAACCGUAAGGANCCA
rnacentral:rRNA from 1 species